GUGUCUGUUCACUCAUAACCAUCACCUGUGUUUCUGUCUCACUCUACCUGCACCUAUCUGCUUGUUAGUUUAGUUUGUAUUGAAGUCCAGUCUUUAGUUAAUUCUACGUUGAGUCAUUUGUCGUGUGUUUCCCCUGAUGUUCCUUUGCGUGCCGGGAUCCUGAAAUCAUCCGUCACGCCACCGGCCUGCUGUUGGCUGCAUUUGGGUCGACCUCUGAAGCUCAACAGGACUCCCAGCCUGUGAAGGAAGGGAAGACACAGAAUGAUGCCACCUCAUCCCCUCAUGCCUUGACUCCCUCCUGUUCCUGCGCCCCUCCCCCUCUCCCUGCAUCUAAUCCCCACCUGGCUGCCAUUGAGGUCAACAUCGUGGGGCUUAAAAUCAGACAGGUGGCUCUUCCUGCGACCUGGAUAUACUUAUCCCUUGAUCCCUGGUGACCCUGACAGGAAGUGGAUCGCUGGCCAAGUGACCCCCUCUGGUGGUCCUUCCUGUCCCCAUGUUGCCUCGCAGGAAGGAAGGAUGCGGUCUGUUGUCCUCAGGCACCGCUCACUUGCCCCCCCCCCCCAGCCUGACGAGAGAAACCAGAUUAUUGGUUCCAGGCUCGUCUCUCCCUGUGCAUACUUUUUUAUUCUUUUUUUGUCUCCUCUAUUUCCCAUCUUCUUUUCUCUGGUCUCAGCACCUACUUUAGCCCAGUUUGACAUCAUUUCUUCCUUCUUUCAUCGUCUCCUCCGUGCCCAUGUGAGAUCCCAGUAAACGCUGCGGACAAUGGUUAACCACAGAAGUCCCAAAUCCCAUUCAAUUGCACUCCAGGGGCUAACAAUACUUUUGAUUUAUAGUCCUCAUUUUAUGUAUCUCUGACACCGACUUGUUUACUUUUGUUAUUGUUGUUUUAUUGGCCAUUUAUUAACAUUAAAUAUGGCAUUCAUUUUCAUGUGGCAGAGAAAAUCCCAAAGUCAGGCUUCUGGGUUUAGUCUGCUCUGAAAUGAUGUACAUGCACGUUGUGAAUUACAGGACGCCAUUUGGUGGUAGUUAGGAGGAGAAGGGGACUUCCAGGCACACUGAGAAAAGAGACCUCUCGAACAACAUCAAACAGUGUUUUUAUUGUUCUUCUGGACGUAGUUUAAGAACAGGAACUCAAAACCGAAAAGGUGAGAAGGUCACGAAGAGCCUUUGCUCACCGCUCAGCUCAGACAUUGGUCGGUAAUUGUGAUGGUUAAGAGUGAGGACAGCAUUGUGCAAGAGGGGAAAAACUUCUCAUCUCCCGCGGGGGUAUCGGUGCUUAUCCAUGUUUUCUGUCUUGGUAACAUGAGCACAAGAUUUCAUGAGCGUGGUCACACUCUCCAUUGGAUGAUGAUGCAGGCAGAGCAGGUGGUAUACAUCAAUGCUGCAACCACAUAUGAUUACCGUCCACACUCUGGGCCGUCUCUCUGUAUAUGUAAGUGUCACUCAGCUGCAGGUGUGAGACAGCAUCUUUACACAGCACAUUACAGCUUCGAGCACAUUUAAUAUAGAUGCAAAUGACCAGCACAGUAAAAAGUGUAAAUGCAUCUGUCCAGUUUGAUAUUCAGUUUAAAAAUUAAAAAAAUAAUAAUAAUAAUUGUUUUUUUUUUAAGAACUGGUCAUUUUAUCUAUGUAAUACUCCCAACCUGGAAGCCGGGGUGUCUACACCUAUUUUAAGAAACAUGAAAAUGCAAAAUCUCUCCCGUAGGUCUCUCUGUCAUUUAGCAAACGUUAGAAGCAGUUACAAAGAAAUGUUGCGUGUUAGGCAUUAAACUUCGUCCCUUUCCUUGACAAGAGUUUGUAAGGAAAGCAAGCAAUGUUUUUGGAAGUCGUAUACUAAACUUAUGUGUUAAUUAAACACCUUUUAAUUGUUGGAUCAGAUUUUAAUAUGUAAUUAUAAUGGUGAAUAUGUUGGUAGUGUUUUUAAAAACUAUGAAUAAUAAAUAGAUUACAAUCUA